UCCAGUCUAGACACCACACACACACAGAAACCCACUGCCUGCACACACACACACGUCUCAACAAAGACAAGCCGCAUCCAAAAGUUAAAGGACGCUUCUUACCUAAAAUGGCCACUGCAGCAGCCAAAACACAAACAGCUUUUUUUAUUUGGUGGAAGUUUAGCAGCAGCGGCGGCGGUGUGGCUGCUGCAGCCAGCCUAACCUUACUAUUUGGAUCCAGUAGCGGUUCAGCAUUUCAGAUUUUUCCAUUGGCUGCAGCCUAGCGCAGCUGGCCCCAUGCAUAUUUCCAUUGGCCCUGCAGCUGUCAAGCAAGCGAAACGAGCAGCGAGUCUCUCCCGGGUUUGUCUGAGAGCUAUCGCGGCAGCCCCAGGCAACACCAUUGUGUAUUGUACUUGCAGGGAAAUCCUUCUCGUACCGGGGGAAGCUUCCCACCACCGCACCGCCCGGCUGGCUCCUGUUGUCAUUGAAGGAAGGAUAAAAAACAAGAGGGGAGCGUUCCGUUUUCAACCCCCCCGAUGCAACAAAACGAAGGGGUUUACAUUUCUCCUCUACUGGCUGCAACCACCAAUCAUGUCGCUUUUUACUCCUCCAUCAUUACCGGGUUUGAAGGGCGGAAGAGAAGAAAAAGACAUUCCACGUCUUUUGCAGAUCAGGUUGCGUUUCCCGGAUGUUCAGUUUUGUUUGCUGGACUUAAUAUUUUCAGUUUGUGGGCUGCGGUGUUUGAUGUGGAUGCAAUGUUCGCUUGUUUUUUAGGGGUAUUUUGGGCUAUAAGGCUUUUUGUGGGGAGACAUAGAACUUGCCUUCUUUCCCAACUUCACCUGAAGUCUGCAGGCUCUCUGCUUGACCCUCCAGUCACCAUCUCCGGUUAUUUGUAAGAGUUAAAACUCUUAAAGUCACAUUUUUAUGUUUCAAAAUACACAUCUCAUUUAGUGCCAAAAAUAAAAAUAAAGCGUCCGAUCUUACCACACCCUAUAUGGCACAAAAUACACUUUUGUCAAAUUGUAACCUCUGACCACAGAGUAAAAAAAAACAACCCGUAAAAGCCUAAUGUGGUCAAGACAUGUCUGAAUUCAAACAUGGUUGUGAUAGAGGUAUGAAUGUGUCAAAAAUAUUUUAUAUAUAUAUGUGCACUCAUGAUUCUUUAGGAGCAAUACCAUGACAAUACCAUGAUUGAGCAAAUAAAGCUUAAAAGUUAAUAAAUCACCUUGGAAAUAGCAGUUUAUACAUCAAUCCCAACUCUGGAGCUGCCAACCACAUCACAUGG